AAAAAUUAGCCUCUAAAAAGAUAACUUUACAGGAAUGAAGUUUAUGGUUUAGAGAAUAAAGCAGAAAGUAUAUUUUCUGUUAGCCAAUAAAAUAAAGUAGCUAAGCGCGUUUGUACUAAGUAAUUUUUUAAUAAUGUUCAAAUAUAAACUAAAGCCUACAACACUGUAAACUUCCGACUAUUUCUUUCACUCGUCAUUUUAUUGUCAGUCAUUUUUUAUUCGCUGCUUCUUUUUUGAUGUGUCAAAUUGCUCGUUACUUAUGUGACUGUUGGCAGAAAGAAACACAGAGUUUUGUUCAUCGUCUAGGAAAAAGUUUAUUGUGUUCGUAUGCAAUUGCGAUAAGUGUAAUUUAAAAAGGAAGUGUAUGUUAAAUUUCAAUAGACUUUAGAUAGUGUGUGACAUAUAAAUCUAACAAAAUGUCCUUUGCGGAGAAAAUCACAGGUUUGUUGGCGCGGCCGAAUCAAGCAGAACAAAUGGGCGGCAUAGAUGCACCAUGGUACAUGAAGUAUGGUGGAAGAUUAUUGGGUAUUGUUGGAGCUUUCUUCUGCAUACUAUUUGGACUAUGGAAUGUCGUCGGCAUUCUGCUACUCAACGUUUCCUGCCUUAUCUCGGGUAUCAUACAAAUGGUGGUCGGUUUUGUAGUGAUGGCACUGGAAGCGCCUUGUUGUUUUUUCUGUAUAGAGUUUGUAAACGAUAUAUCAAAUAAAGUAGAUGCACGUCCAUUAUGGAAUCGUGCUGCCUUCUAUUGCGCGAUUGCUAUACCCCCCAUAAUUUUGUGCCCAGGACUGGGUAGUAUUUUCGCAUGUGGUCUUGUGUUCGGAACUGGCGUGAUAUAUGGUUUAAUGGGAUUGGGAAAAAAAGCAUCGCGCGAGGAUAUGGCUGCAGCCGCAACAUCGCCUACACAAAUGCCACCAGACGGGGGCCAAAUGCAAAUGGGCACCGACCAACAUAUCACACUAAUGGAGGAUCCAGAUGUCUGGCGCCCCACAUAAACAAUACGUUCCAACUUAACUUAGAAAGCUCAUUAGUGCAUGCUGCUAUUGUUAUGCAUAGCAAAUCAGUCUCUAAAAUAUUUCCUUUAGUUUGCCAAUACUUGUGGCGUUUCCUUUGAAACCCGCAACUAUUGAGACACGGAGUUAAGAAAUUCAAACAGUCACUUACCCCACCAGCUGAACAAUUUACUUAAAUUAAAGGGUAGUGUAGUGUAGCGAAAUAAAACAAAUGUACAACAGCAUAAACUGAAAAUUUGCAGCAAGUAAGGUUUUUUUUUGGUUCUCUUAAAGUUAAGCGAUACAAACACAAAAGCAUAUAAUUUACAUAUGUAUGUAUGUACAUUCGUAGUUAAUACAAAACCAUUAUUACCUUGAAUAUGAUACUCAGUUGACAACAACAUUCCAUUUAUAAAUAAUAAUUGUUAUAUAAACAUAUUUACCAAAGUUGAGGAAGAUCAAUUUAAAUAAAAUUGUUGUUGUUAUUGCUAUAUCUGCGCCUACUGAAUGAUCUCCGAAAGCAGCAAUAAAAGAGUACAUCUGUAAUGAUGCUGUACAUACAUAGCACACAAUAUAAAUGAAAAUAAAAGCAAAACUAAUAUGUAAACAAAAGAUAAGAGGAAUAUUAAUAUUAUAGUGCUAAAAAUUUGCGUCGUUACUUAGAAAAGCGUUUUAAAGUUUUGGUGUAUUGUUCAUAAACUUAUCAAUAAAAGCAAAUAUUGAAGUAUUGUAAAUUAUAAAUAAAUUAAAAGUGAAAAGUACAAUUGAUUGAUGUGUGUUAGAAAAAUAUUUUAACUCGAUUUUCAAAUAUUAUAUUUUGAAGCAGCUGUAAAUUUUUGAAAACAAAAUUUUUGUGAUAGUUUCGUAAAAAAAUUUAAACGAUGCCGUUAUUCAUGCAGACCAUACUUUUAUAUGCGAAUAUAGGUAAAUAUUGCUGUAUGGAAAUAGACAUGUAUGUAGUUACAUAUAUGCAUAAGUUUAAACGCAAUUAAAGGUAACUAAACUUUAAUAAAUUGGUCAACGGUAUUUUUGUGAGUGAAUUUUGGCAUAUAUUAUUUCGUCAUAAUCGCUUAUUUACAAUUAAAGUUUUAAAUUAAUUCUUUGUUUGUUCUUUCGGAAAAAAUUUUCACUCUUUUUGCAUAUAUAUUUUAGUUUAAUCAAAUGAAUUUUAAUAUUAAAUAAAAUAUUUUACAUAACUGAGUUAUAAACUAACUUGUGUGUCAAAAAUUUUCAAAUAAGCCUUUUUCAAAAAAUUAUACGCCUGUAAGCCAAUAAAGGCAAUCAAAUUUACUUACUUACUUUAAAAAUGUUAAUAAUGAUAAAAAAACUAUGCAUUUUUAUUUUCGUUUGAGUUUCCAAAUACUAUUUAAUCAAAUAUCUAGUUGUGUUUACUAAAAUGUUCAUAAAAAAAGUUUCGUAAUAUAGCAAUUAAAUAAUAUUCAACAAAAUAGUUAGUGAAGAUUUGCUUUGACAUAAAUAUUCAAAGACCCAAGCAUUGAAACUCAAUAAAAAUUAUUAAGAUUUGCUUUAGUCCUGGGAAAGCAGCAUGCAACGCCCAAGAACAGCGUAAAAAGCACUUGGUAGUCAAACAAAAGCUGGCGGUGCACAGUUGCGCAUACAGAACAGGAUGUUGAAUUUACUGCCAAAUUUACACCACACAAAAACACUUAAAUACAGAAAUUUUACAAAUCAUCAAUAGAAGAUGUCAGCGAUAUCUACGUAACGGUCAACAAUUUGUCAGACUAAAAGGGCUUCCGCCGACGAAAUGCGCCAAGCUGCUGUAAAUUCCGGCUUCGCGGGCACACCCACGGGCGUCACAUCGAACGAUCGCGCCAGCAUUGUGAACAAUGCACAACCGUUCUCCUUCACAGGCGCCGUGGGCACAGACAGCAAUGUGUGAUAGCGUACACAUGACUGCAAAAAAAAUCAACCAUUGGAAGCGUUGCACAGAGAAAAAGUUGACAAAUGCCAAACAAAAAAUCAAAAAUAGAAUAACAGACAAAACCUGGUCUGUGCUGCUGAUCAGCUGCCGGUCACUACAUACUGUAUAUGUGCAUACGUCUAUAUUAUUUAUAUGGUGAAAGUGCCUCUCAUAAAUAGAAAAAAUUCAAAAUGAAAUCGUUUGAAAUCGGUACUUGCAGUUGUAGUACAAUUCAUAGUGGCAUCCCUGGCGCAGAAAUCACUUAUGCAACACGAGCGAAAGAUCUCUGUCAACUUCGUUUGAUAACGCCUUCACUGGUUUUAAUAUUUACAUUGUUAACUGAUAGCUUGCUAAAUAUGUUCCAUCAUAUACAUAUUAACUUUUCGGAUGGUUAAACUUGCUUUGUUACUCCUUUCCUAAAUAUAAAUGCAUACUUAAUUUUUAUUUGUUAAUUACUUUAUGUUUAUUGUUAAAUUUCUUGGCAAUUACAUUUUAAGCGCUUCAUUCAAAAAUCGCAUACACCUACGCUGUAAUGAAAUAUUUAUAUACUAACAUUUGAUUUAUAAAUGCAUAUUUAUGUAUAGUAUUUUUGUUUAAAGUUAAUAAUCUGUUUAUUUUGUCAAUAAUCACACAAUCUGUUGUCCUAUUCUACUCGUAACAAAAUUUUUGCAUUCCAUUUGUGCAAUGAAAUUCUUCUUUAGUUUCAUAGAAAUGAAGUCUCGAAAAAAAUUCAUUUUUGUGAUUAAACUUCGUAAAAUGUCUUUUAAAUUACAAUGUUAAUUAUCAAAAGUAUUUUAUAAGCCAUUAUUUUGUUUCGAAAAUACUGGUACAAUAGCUUGUAAAUUGACCUAAGUUACUAAAACAUUAUUGAAUAUAUCACGUGUCUUUGUAGUAAUUUUGAUCAUCGUACUUUUCACGUUUCAUGCUAUCUUAAUAAUAGUUUACGCGCAACAAUCUAGACAAAUAUUUGAGAAGUUUGUGCGUUUGAAUUGUUCGCCUGUUUAAAAACAAAUAACAAAAAAUAAGUAAAUGUUGAGCAAACUAAAUAAAUAGCAACCAUAGGCAAGUUAAAAACAAAAACAAAAAGAGUCAGCGCCUCUAUGAAUUGUAAUAUCUUAAUAUAAGUCAUAUAUAGUUAAAUAAA